CAAUAGAUCCAAGACAAGUUAGUGGGAGCAAUAUGCAUUCAAAUCAAGAAAAUAUAAUUGUUAAGCUUUUUGAAUGAAUGCUAAGUUACAACAAGGCCAGUGGGAGUGAUGUCAUAAUUUGAGCAACAAGAUAUGAAUAAAGUCUAUUUGAUAGACUUGAUAGAACAUAGAUGUUACUCGAAAAUUGACAAAACAUGACACGGUCAAUUUUGAAGUAUAGACUUGAAAUUGGACUUAUUGAUAUAGCAAGGCUAUCUCAAGAAUGUUAAAUGGGGAAAUUAAAUCUCAAAUGUUGAAGAUUUAAGAAAGCAUUUUCCUAUAUGAUAGAAAAUCACUUUCGUAACCCUUAUAAUGAAUGUGUCACAAAAUCACAAAAGGGACACAUGUAUGGACUUGUGAGUAGAUAUCCAAAAGUGAAGAACCACAGGAGUUGUCACUUUAAGAUAUUACUAUAUCCCAGGAUCAGAACCAAAGCAACUGAUAGAGUAUUAUUGCCUUUAAGAAAGGAACAUCAGAGUGGAACUCUGGAAGCGUGCAUUCACUUAGGUUAUAAACCAAAGUGAAAAUAAGACAUUUUAACAAAUGGAACUUCAUAAUGGAUGAAGUACUAAUCAUAUGAAUGUAUUGUAAGUAUUGUACUACAAUGGUCUCAAGGUUGGAGCAAAGUUUGUAUAAUGUAUACAAACGAAAUAUAUGACGAUAUAUUGUUUUAGAAACUGCUUCAAAAGGUGUUUUGAAUGGAAGGGUUCUUUUAGAACCAAUGAUUGAAUCCAAACCAUAAGGUCAUGAGUAGGACACUACGACGCAAUAGGGCGAUAGCUCAAGCCAUGGAAUCAAGGUCUCAUCAA
rnacentral:lncRNA from 1 species